rnacentral:rRNA from 1 species
AUGAACGCUGGCGGCGUGCCUCAUCCAUGCCAGUCGAGCGAACAGACGAGGAGCUUGCUCCUCUGACGUUAGCGGCGGACGGGUGAGUAACACGUGGAUAACCUACCUAUAAGACUGGGAUAACUUCGGGAAACCGGAGCUAAUACCGGAUAAUAUAUUGAACCGCAUGGUUCAAUAGUGAAAGACGGUUUUGCUGUCACUUAUAGAUGGAUCCGCGCCGCAUUAGCUAGUUGGUAAGGUAACGGCUUACCAAGGCAACGAUGCGUAGCCGACCUGAGAGGGUGAUCGGCCACACUGGAACUGAGACACGGUCCAGACUCCUACGGGAGGCAGCAGUAGGGAAUCUUCCGCAAUGGGCGAAAGCUUGACGGAGCAACGCCGCGUGAGUGAUGAAGGUCUUCGGAUCGUAAAACUCUGUUAUUAGGGAAGAACAAAUGUGUAAGUAACUAUGCACGUCUUGACGGUACCUAAUCAGAAAGCCACGGCUAACUACGUG